rnacentral:lncRNA from 1 species
GAUGAUGUUGUGGUGCAGAAGGACGUGACUGGGUUGUGGAAGAUUAAUUUAGAUGGGAAGGUGAAUGGAGCUGUUGAGACGUGCUUUGGCUCUUUUCAUCGAUAUGGUCAAUACCUAAACUUCACUCAUCCUCUGAUCAAAGAGAGCUUUAAUUAGAGUCUGCUAAGUUGCAGAAGUUUUACUUUGAGAACCAGGCGGAGAACUCGACUAGAGAUGAACAUAACAUCAAGUUCAAGAACCCCAAGUAUCUCUCGGUGUUGAACCAUCUGAGAUUCUACUUACCGGAGAUGUAUCCGAAGCUGAAUAAGAUCUUGUUCUUGGACGAUGAUGUUGUGGUGCAGAAGGACGUGACUGGGUUGUGGAAGAUUAAUUUAGAUGGGAAGGUGAAUGGAGCUGUUGAGACGUGCUUUGGCUCUUUUCAUCGAUAUGGUCAAUACCUAAACUUCACUCAUCCUCUGAUCAAAGAGAGCUUUAACCCCAAUGCUUGUGCUUGGGCCUUUGGGAUGAAUAUAUUUGAUCUCAAUGCUUGGAGGCGUGAGAAAUGCACUGAUCAAUACCAUUA